AGGACGAACGCUGGCGGCGUGCUUAACACAUGCAAGUCGAGCGGAAAGGCCCUUCGGGGUACGUCGAGCGGCGAACGGGUGAGUAACACGUGAGUAACCUGCCCUUGGCUCUGGGAUAGCUCCGGGAAACCGGAAUUAAUACCGGAUAUGACUGCUGCUGACAUCGGUGGUGGUGGAAAGAUUUAUCGGCCAGGGAUGGGCUCGCGGCCUAUCAGCUUGUUGGUGGGGUAACGGCCUACCAAGGCGACGACGGGUA
rnacentral:rRNA from 1 species